rnacentral:rRNA from 1 species
UACGUAGGGACCAAGCGUUGUUCGGAUUUACUGGGCGUAAAGGGCGCGUAGGCGGCAAUUCAAGUCAUCUGUGAAAUCUCCGGGCUUAACUCGGAAUGGUCAGGUGAUACUGCUUUGCUAGAGUGCAGAAGGGGCAAUCGGAAUUCUUGGUGUAGCGGUGAAAUGCGUAGAUAUCAAGAGGAACACCUGAGGUGAAGACGGGUUGCUGGGCUGACACGUGACGCUGGAGGCGCGAAAGCUAGGGGAGCAAACGGG